UGCCAUUUUUUUAUGUCAUUUGCGAUGUUUUGCAAGUGUCGUUUGGAAAGUGGUUAUCUCUGGUUCCUACAUUUUGGUUUGUCACACUGUGCGUUUCUGCAGUUUCUGCUAGAACUUCCGUAGCGUUUUUUUUUGUCUGAAUAGAGUGCACAAUGCAGGUCUCAAGAAUGCACUAAAUAACGUUGUUCAAAAUCAAAUAAUUGAUGUGGAAGAAGUCACCGAGUAGAAACGGGCAACCACAACGUGACACCAGCCUUGUAGUGCGGUCAGAUUUGAGACACAUUACGUGACGCGGACUAAAUCCCCCUCCAUCGGACCGAAGCCUUCAGCAAUUACUUGCUCUUCCUGGUCCCAUUGUCAAGGUCUAGGCUGCCCGUCUUUGAAUGGGCAGUGGCGUGUUGAGUGGUAGCGUAACCCGCCUCUCAAAGCGAUACUCGGUUCGAUACAAACCGUGUUCGAUAUAAAACUGUUUUGGUUUUUGUUUUGUCUGUUUUGGUUUUUGUUUUGUCUGUUUUUGUUUUUGUUUUGUCUGUUUUGGUUUUUGUUUUGUCUGUUUUGGUUUUUGUUUUGUGUGUUUUGGUUUUUGUUUUGUCUGUUUUAGUUGGAUUUCCUUAUAACUGUUUAGUUCAUUCUCGAAAAAUACAAUAUUCGUUGCCGCACUCAAUACACCAGCCCAAAAAAAAAUCUUUCUCGGUGGUGGCCACAGAAGAACUUAAUGGUGAUAAAUUUAAUAACCAACUCAUUAAAAAGAUACGAUUAAUAGUAGCAGUAGUAGUAGUUACCAACACCCAUCUAUCUAUCUUUAGAAUUUUUUUUUCAAAAAAUUGUAGCUAUUCUUCCUGAAAAUUAGAUAAAAGUUUUAAAUAAAAAUCAAUAAAUCAAAAUUGGGUUGUAUCAUUGAACAGAUGAGAUUCAUCUAAUAUUUAAGUAGUGUUAUCUGCUCUCUGGUAGCAUAUAUGUACGUGCAUUUUUAUUUUAUUCGUUUUUUUUUUAAUUUUAUAUAUUGUGAAAUGAAUAUAAAAAAGCAUUUAAAUUGUUUAAGGUUUUUUGUAUAGGUUUAAGUUUUGUUUUAGUAAUUUCUGUAGGUAAUAUUUCAUCUCUUUUUCAUUAUAUUGUCGCGGGUUGAAAUUUUGCAGGGUUGUUGAAAUCAAAUUUAGGGACUUUACUGACGGGACUCUGGGCUGGCUGCUCUGUUCACUCGUCAGCGCAAGUGGCGUGACCAUGUAAUUGGGGCACGGGGCCGGCGCGGCGCGCUGCGGGCUUGCAGAAUUUUGUUUGUUUGUUUGGCCGCGCGCUGGCGCAGCCACGGGCCGCAGUUACUGGGGCGCGCUGUCGUAACAAGCCGCGCGGUGUGGCCUGCACAUUGGGGUAGAGGGGGGGUAGUCUUCCCAGAUGUUCUAGUUAGUUGUUUAGUAAAUUUGACUUCAAUAACGAGCUUUUGUUAUGGUAGGCGCGGCAGGGCGCGCGAAUUUAAGCGCAAGUGAGUGGUGACUCGGGGCUCACUCAGGCGGAGGCUAUGCGUCUCACCUGUGGCCACGAGUUGUUAGUUCGUUCGUGAUGUAGGAAUUCAGGCUCACUCAGGCGGAGGCUAUGCGUCUCACCUGUGGUCACGAGUUGUUAGUUCGUUCGUGAUGUAGGAAUUCAGGCUCACUCAGGCGGAGGCUAUGCGUCUCACCUGUGGUCACGAGUUGUUAGUUCGUUCGUGAUGUAGGAAUUCAGGCUCACUCAGGCGGAGGCUAUGCGUCUCACCUGUGGCCACGAGUUGUUUAGUUAGUUCGUUCGUGAUGUAGUUUAAGUUAGGUCAUAAUGUAGUCGUCAAGCUUUCGGGCGGAGGCUAUGGCCCUCGUCAGGGGUCACGCGUCAUAGUUUUUAAAAUGUAAUGUUCGUUCGGGAUUUCAAGGGCAGGAGAGGCCCCUACGUUAUUUUUUUAAAGUAAUCGAUCAAGAAAGGCUUUUCGGAAAAUGUGAGUAUGGACUUAUCUUUGUUUUAAUUUUAAGUAUUAAUUAUGAUUUGAGGUAUUCGGAAGGACUAGGGAAGUGUUUAGUGAAGUUCUCUCAUUCUCUCUCUUGUAAGGUCGUUCAAUCGUUAAGGAAGUAAAGAGAUUAUUGUUUUAAAUUGUAAUCCCGCUAUUUAAAUGUUCUUUAAAAUGAUGUUGAGUAUUUGACUUUAAGAAUAAAAUAAUUUUAAUUAAGUAUUAUGUUAUUUUGCAAAAUCUCCUUAGUUCAGCUCUCACCAGACAUCCUGUACGGGAUGACGAACCUAUGAUCCUAGGUACAGUAAAGUAUUUUAUGAAGUUAAGACUAGUUGAUGCCAAGCGAGUUGUUUCUAUGUAAAGAGCUACGAUUCUCUCCCCCCUCUGAAAGUGGAUCGUGACAGAAAUGGCGGUGGCACCGGCUAGGUGCACGUGACAGAAAUGGUAGAGUUCGCCGGAUAGGUUCUAUUUCUGGAGAGAGAGAGAGGUAGAUUUUUAUGUUUAUUAUUAAGUUAGUUUCAGCUUCUGAUAGCAGGUUAUUAAGAGUUUACUUGAGGAGAGGAUUACGGAAUUUUAGUCUAUAGUGGAGGAAGUCUUUGAGAUUUUUUUUUUGACGUAACAGAUGUUUAUUUGAGGAUACUUGUAAGGAUAAAGUUUAUAGUGAUAAGUUGUUUUAAGUCGUUGAAUUUAUUGUAGAUUUAUAUCGGGGAUUAUUACGUGAGGAGAAUACGUUAUAAGUUAAAUGCUUAUUAGAGAUAAUGCAAGUGGUUUAAUUUAAUUGAAAUUAAUUUUAAGAUUGUAGGUUAAGAGAGUUAAAAUUUAAAAUAAAGUUUUUUUCGUAAAUAGGAAUUACUUUCAAGUGAAGUUUGUUUUGUUUUCGUGCGCGUAGGAGACGAGACGUACGAAUUAAAUCAGUCGAGGGAAGGAUAAACGUUAGAAAGGAAUUAAAAAGAAAACGAGAGUUUAUGUAAAAGAGAGUUAUAGAAUUUAUAGUGAUGUUUUGUUUUAAUUAGAAAAAUGUUGAGAGUUGUUUCAGAACGACACGUCAGUGGACGUGGCAGAAUGAACACGUGACGGGGAGGUGCUGAGACCUAGCGGAGAACGGAGGAACCGCAAGCGAGGGUUGGCGCACCUGAUGGAAUUCGGUGACGUCACGGGCUCAUACGGAGACGUGGACGGCCGUGACCUUGUUUUGAUCAGCUGUACGGUAACUUAGCGAUAAGAAAAUAGACUAUUGGUUAAAUAAAUUUAAAUUUAAGUGUGUUUUAGAAGAAGAGGAACUUUCAGUAUAUUCCUUAAGAUGAGCUGAGCAGCAGUCCAGUUUACAAGAUGACAAGAGUUCGAGAGACAAGAUACAAGAUCACUGAAACAAGAGCCAAGACUGAAGAUUCAAGAGAAGAGAAAGCUGGCAGCCAUGGACUUACAAGUGGAGAUUAAUAAGGUCAUGUAAAGUUUUAUUUUUUUUUAUGGAAGACAGUAACUGGAGUUUUUUUUUGUUAUAAACAUUAUUUACAGAACUUUUUAGGUUAUAGUAAUGUAAUGGAACUAGUGAGUUGUGGUAGCUGUCAAAAAGAACUAAUACCUUAAGUUUAAUUUUUAAAGUUAAUUUUCUUAAUUUACAGAGGGAUUAGUAGUUUUUUUUUUAAAACCUUAUUUAGGUUGGAAUUUAAAUACAAUAGCUUAUUAUAAAUGUGUACGAACAGUUCAAGUUCACAGUACUGAUAGGUAGGUCAGAUGAUCUUAUUGAUUUUGAUGAUUUGUUGUUUUGAGUUGAUUUUUAAGUGUUGUGAAUUAGACAAUGAAAUAGUUCUGAAAACUUAAAUUAUUUCAAGCUAAGAAAUAGUAAAGUUAAUUGUAACUCAAAGGACACCAGAAUUUAAUUUUUUUUUGAAUUAGUAAUGUUUGAAAAUUUUAUACUUUACAAGAAAGGUUAUAAACAAACAGAUCGGAUGGAACAAGGAUGCAGUAAAUCACAAUUUCAUUUAGAAUUAUUGAUUAGCUUUUGAGGUUAUGAAGUAAAAGUAAUUAUAGUUUAAAAGUUUGAAUAAAAAAAAAUGUUUUUUUUUUAUUUGUUUCAAAUAGAAAGUUUAAAAGUUAAUUAGUCAUGAUCUAGGUGGGUGAUGGGGUGGGAAUUGGCCACUCUUUUUCCCUAUAACCUCCCUAACAUGGCCUUCUAUUACAACUAACAGAAAUAAAGAAGAAGAAAAA